CCUACGGGUGGCAGCAGUAGGGAAUAUUGCUCAAUGGGGGAAACCCUGAAGCAGCAACGCCGCGUGUAGGAUGAAGGUUUUAGGAUUGUAAACUCCUUUUGUUAGAGAAGAUUAUGACGGUAUCUAACGAAUAAGCACCGGCUAACUCCGUUCCAGCAGCCGCGGUAAUUCGGAGGGUGCAAGCGUUACUCGGAAUCACUGGGCGUAAAGAGUGCGUAGGCGGGGUAAUAAGUCAGAGGUGAAAUCCUGUAGCUUAACUACAGAACUGCAUUUGAAACUGUUACUCUGGAGUGUAGGAGAGGUAGGUGGAAUGCUUGGUGUAGGGGUGAAAUGCGUAGAGAUCAAGAGGAAUACUCAUUGCGAAGGCGACCUGCUGGAACAUUACUGACGCUGAGGCACGAAAGCGUGGGGAGCAAACAGGAUUAGAUACCCUGGUAGUC
rnacentral:rRNA from 1 species